UCUCCUCUCUCCUCAAGUCUACAGUCGGUGAGAUCGUGCAGGAGCCAUCGCCGAGAGACUGAUGAUGGAGCUGGCUACAACGUCAUCGUGGAGGUACUGGAGAGGAGGAGGUUUUUGGAGUAAACGACCGUCGCCGUUCAGUUCAUUAACAAAGCAUAGAGUAUUCUCACUCAGAUCUUCACAAAACUUCUUCAAAUCUGAAGAGCAACGAAGUUGAAAGAGAAAUCAAAGUCGAAAUCAGAAGAAAGCCCACUAUUUCUUCAGAUUUGGAGAGUUCGUAACUCUUGACCUCAGCUUAUCUAUACACAAAACCCCCUCUUCUCCAACUCUUACUUCAUUAGGUUUCUCCUUUAGCACUCCUAUCUAGUCAAGGAAAAACAUCAUCGUACUAUUUCACUUUUUUUUUUCUAAUGGACUAAUUCUGUUCUGAGAAUUUUAGAUUCACUUUUCUGUUUUAAACCCCAUAAAGUAAAAUUCCUUCUCCUAUUAGAUCUUUGAUUUCCCUAACCCUUUCUCUCUCUAUAUAUCUAUACAGCUAUAUAUUAAAAUUUCUCAAUUAGCUUGACUUUUAUUUUUAUUUUCUAUUGUUCUU
rnacentral:lncRNA from 1 species